UUCAAUUCGAUUAAUAAUUAAUUCAUUUGUUACCUUACAAUUAUAAUGCAAGUAUAACAUAGGUAUGAUUUUAUUUAAUUGAACAACUUACCAAAGCCAAAAAUAAUACAAACAUGAUUUUAAUAAUCUAAGCGAACAAAAUGAAAUCAAUCUAACACAAAUUAGAUUUAAGUCAUUUUAAUUAAAUCAAGAACAACAAAAUAAAAAAUAUUCAUGUUCAUAACCUUAACAUAAACAAGAAAAAGUAAAGAGAAGAGAACUAGGAAACAGAUCCCAGUGUUUUUCCCAAGCUAGAUUAGUACGCUCCUAUUUUUUUCCGCUUGUUCUGUCAAUUCAAGGCCUUCACAAACACUUGAAUGUUGCUAUUCCAAGAUGGAUGCAAGCCCUUCUUCAAGAGUAGAAAUCGGUAAUGGAAGAGGACAAAGGAAAUGGAAGAGAGAAA
rnacentral:lncRNA from 1 species